rnacentral:tRNA from 1 species
ACCCCCGUAGCUCAGCGGACAAGAGCGCAUGGCUACGAACCAUGAGGUCGCAGGUUCGAUCCCUGCCGGGGGUG